rnacentral:rRNA from 1 species
UACGAAGGGGGCUAGCGUUGCUCGGAAUUACUGGGCGUAAAGCGCACGUAGGCGGUCUUUUAAGUCGGGGGUGAAAUCCUGGAGCUCAACUCCAGAACUGCCUUCGAUACUGGAAGACUCGAGUCCGGGAGAGGUGAGUGGAACUGCGAGUGUAGAGGUGAAAUUCGUAGAUAUUCGCAAGAACACCAGUGGCGAAGGCGGCUCACUGGCCCGGUACUGACGCUGAGGCACGAAAGCGUGGGGAGCAAAAGGG